UAAUAAACAAUAUUAGGGGCAGAACAAAAUCCAUGUUUAUAAAAUGAUGCAAAGAAUGAUUUUAGAAACAUAGAAUAAUUCAAUUGGGUUGAAAACAAAGAAAGGAGUUGGAAACCCCUUUCUAUCUGUCUGGUUUGGAGGGUAGUUGGGUGAAUUUGAAUAUUAGCUCGUCUUUUCUCAUUGUUUAAGAGGCCUUUAAAAACCAUUCUCCACCACCCAAUCUUUGUUCUAACCUGAUUCUUUCAUUCUUUAGUUUUCCUCAACAACGAUGAACGCUUAGCCUUUUUUGGUCUUCGAGAAAACCGAUUAUUUACAAAGUUUGAGAGAAUUUUAAUUUCCAAAAGCAAGAAUUCAAUGGCAAUCAAGAAACACACAUGGAUAUCUAUCGUUACGAGUUGCUACAAGUCUGAGGUCCAACCUUCACGAAAGCCCAAGAAAUUGGUUGCCAAACAGAGUUCAUUUCAAAGGAUUUCUAUAACAGAUUUGAGUAAUCCAAGCUCAACACUUUCAGAGGACCUCUCCAUCUCUCUUGCUGGUUCAAAUAUCCAUGUUUUUACCCUUGCGGAGCUAAAGGUGAUCACCCAGAAUUUCUCUUCCAGUAACUUUCUUGGAGAAGGUGGAUUUGGACCGGUUCACAAAGGUUUCAUUGAUGACAAGCUUAGACCUGGUUUGAAGGCUCAACCUGUAGCUGUCAAGCUCUUGGACUUGGAUGGCACUCAAGGCCAUAGGGAGUGGUUGACCGAAGUGAUAUUCCUGGGACAAUUGAGGCAUCCACACCUCGUGAAGCUGAUAGGUUAUUGUUGUGAAGAUGAACAUAGACUGCUCGUCUAUGAAUAUAUGCCAAGAGGCAGCUUAGAGAAUCAGCUAUUUAGAAGGUACUCGGUCUCAUUACCAUGGUCAACGAGAAUGAAAAUCGCACUCGGAGCUGCAAAGGGGCUCUCUUUCCUCCACGAAGCAGAAAAGCCAGUGAUAUAUAGGGACUUCAAGGCAUCAAACAUAUUGCUAGACUCGGAUUAUACUCCCAAACUUUCAGAUUUUGGGCUAGCAAAAGAUGGUCCAGAGGGAGAUGACACACACGUUUCUACACGAGUUAUGGGCACGCAGGGCUAUGCUGCGCCGGAAUACAUAAUGACGGGUCACUUGACGGCAAUGAGCGAUGUUUAUAGCUUCGGAGUGGUGCUUUUAGAACUACUAACCGGAAGGAGAUCUGUGGACAAGAACCGUCCUCACAGAGAGCAGAACCUAGUGGAAUGGGCAAGGCCAAUGUUGAAUGAUUCCAGGAAAUUGGGCAGGUUAAUGGACCCGAGACUGGAAGGCCAAUACUCUGAAACAGGGGCUAAAAAAGCAGCUGCAUUGGCUUAUCAAUGCCUCAGCCACCGCCCAAAGCAACGACCAACCAUGAGUACCGUGGUCAAGACCUUGGAACCCCUUAAGGAUUUUGAUGACCUCCCAAUUGGACCUUUUGUAUUCACAUUUCCAAAUGAAACCCAAUUUUGUAAAGAAGAAUUAAGGGAAGGUGGAGAAGCAUUGAAACAGUCAAAGAAAGAAAAUGGUCAUCAUCAUUAUCAUAAUGGGCAUAAGCAUCACCACAAAUCGCCUAAGUCUCCAAAUUCUUACUCGGAAAGAAACGGUUUGAAUUCCCCAUUGCACCACAGAGCCAGAGGAGCUUAGAUUAGUAGCUAGCUGCAAGUGUAAAUCACACCACGUACAAUAUUUGACACUGUAAAUAGAGAUUUAUCAAGUUUCCUUUGGUGGCAAAUCCUGGCACUUCUUAGGCUAAAUGUAACUAAGUCUUGCAAGAAUGAGGAAUUUGUUCAUUGCUUGAAUUAUUAUUUGUUUACAUUUUUUUAUUAUUAUUAUUAUUCUAAAGUGAUCGUAUAUGGAAUUCAGUCCACUUCUUGAGCAAAUUGAGAUUUGUUCAAAAGUGGGAAAUGCCCAACUUGUACAUGUUGUAUACUAGCAUAUUUUUCUUAGAUUUUGUCAA